AAGCUUGCUUUUGAUGCUUAGUGGCGGACGGGUGAGUAACGCGUGAGCAACCUGCCUAUCAGAGGGGGAUAACGUUUGGAAACGAACGCUAAUACCGCAUAACAUAUCUGGGUCGCAUGAUUGAGAUAUCAAAGGAGCAAUCCGCUGAAAGAUGGGCUCGCGUCCGAUUAGCUAGUUGGCGGGAUAACAGCCCACCAAGGCGACGAUCGGUAGCCGGACUGAGAGGUCGAACGGCCACAUUGGGACUGAGACACGGCCCAGACUCCUACGGGAGGCAGCAGUGAGGGAUAUUGGGCAAUGGGGGAAACCCUGACCCAGCAACGCCGCGUGAGGGAUGACGGUUUUCGGAUUGUAAACCUCUGUCCUCUGUGAAGAUAGUGACGGUAGCAGAGGAGGAAGCUCCGGCUAACUACGUGCCAGCAGCCGCGGUAAUACGUAGGGAGCAAGCGUUGUCCGGAUUUACUGGGUGUAAAGGGUGCGUAGGCGGAUCUGCAAGUCAGUAGUGAAAUCCCAGGGCUUAACCCUGGAACUGCUAUUGAAACUGUGGGUCUUGAGUGAGGUAGAGGCAGGCGGAAUUCCCGGUGUAGCGGUGAAAUGCGUAGAGAUGGGGAGGAACACCAGUGGCGAAGGCGGCCUGCUGGGCUUUAACUGACGCUGAGGCACGAAAGCGUGGGUAGCAAACAGGAUUAGAUACCCUGGUAGUCCACGCUGUAAACGAUGAUUACUAGGUGUGGGGGGUCUGACCCCUUCCGUGCCGGAGUUAACACAAUAAGUAAUCCACCUGGGGAGUACGACCGCAAGGUUGAAACUCAAAGGAAUUGACGGGGGCCCGCACAAGCAGUGGAGUAUGUGGUUUAAUUCGACGCAACGCGAAGAACCUUACCAAGUCUUGACAUCCUGCGACGAUGCUGGAAACAGUAUUUUCCUUCGGGACGCAGAGACAGGUGGUGCAUGGUUGUCGUCAGCUCGUGUCGUGAGAUGUUGGGUUAAGUCCCGCAACGAGCGCAACCCUUACUGUCAGUUACUACGCAAGAGGACUCUGGCAGGACUGCCGUUGACAAAACGGAGGAAGGUGGGGAUGACGUCAAAUCAUCAUGCCCUUUAUGACUUGGGCUACACACGUACUACAAUGGCGUUAAACAAAGAGAAGCAAGACCGCGAGGUGGAGCAAAACUCAGAAACAACGUCCCAGUUCGGACUGCAGGCUGCAACUCGCCUGCACGAAGUCGGAAUUGCUAGUAAUCGUGGAUCAGCAUGCCACGGUGAAUACGUUCCCGGGCCUUGCACUCACCGCCCGUCAA
rnacentral:rRNA from 1 species